rnacentral:rRNA from 1 species
AGAGUUUGAUCCUGGCUCAGAUUGAACGCUGGCGGCAUGCCUUACACAUGCAAGUCGAACGGCAGCACGGGAGCAAUCCUGGUGGCGAGUGGCGAACGGGUGAGUAAUAUAUCGGAACGUGCCCAGUCGUGGGGGAUAACGUAGAGAAAUUUACGCUAAUACCGCAUACGAUCUAAGGAUGAAAGCGGGGGACCGUAAGGCCUCGCGCGAUUGGAGCGGCUGAUAUCAGAUUAGGUUGUUGGUGAGGUAAAAGCUCACCAAGCCGACGAUCUGUAGCUGGUUUGAGAGAACGACCAGCCACACUGGGACUGAGACACGGCCCAGACUCCUACGGGAGGCAGCAGUGGGGAAUUUUGGACAAUGGGCGAAAGCCUGAUCCAGCAAUGCCGCGUGCAGGAAGAAGGCCUUCGGGUUGUAAACUGCUUUUGUACGGAACGAAAAGGUCUGCCCUAAUACGGCGGGCCCAUGACGGUACCGUAAGAAUAAGCACCGGCUAACUACGUGCCAGCAGCCGCGGUAAUACGUAGGGUGCGAGCGUUAAUCGGAAUUACUGGGCGUAAAGCGUGCGCAGGCGGUG